CAUGAAAAAUGAUGUCCAAACCUGCCCCGCCGUGGGCUACUUGGACAAAGCCCACGGGCUAUCGGCCCACUUGACACCUCUAAGCAUUUGGUUCUUCAAUGCUGUCUUGUGGUCUGACUAACAUAGAUCUGUUUGUUCUUGGUGAAGUUUUUCCUCUGUUUCACUGUUUGUUUAUUGUCCUUCUUCUGUGUUUUUAUCCUUUCUUGACAAAUAAUGUUCUUAUUAUAUGUCUAAAGAGAGCGAUUCCUCUCAACUUCGUGAAAAGUAUCUCGGACAAGGAGUUCUUGGCUAAAAUGGUGUUGAAAGUGUCAUGGACAAGGAGUUCUUGGCUAAAAUGGUGUUGAAAGUGUCAAUUAAAGUCUCAAGAAACUCAAGUUUCUACUACAUGGAGAAAAAGUUGCUGGGACAAGUUUUUGAGUGACAAUGGUUUAGGUAAUAACGAGUUUCUUAACUUCACACACAAAGGAAAUAUGUGCUUUAGCGUAGACAUCUUCCGAAUAGACGGUAAGGAGAUGCUUAGACGACGCAGGUCUGCAACUAUUGCUUCUUCAUGCUGUAACUGUCGGAACAUGAAGAAGGAGAAGACAAAGGUGGAAGAUGUUUCGUGUUCCAGAAUUUACCCUCACCAUAAAGAAAGCAUACCUCAUAUUCUUGGUAAGAAAAGAAAGAUUGGUUUAUAUAAAUGUGAGUUAUAUAGUCUAAUUUCUAAUAAGAAUUUAUGAUUUCGGGGGAUCCCGAAGAUGUUUGAGGAGAUGCAUAUGCCAAAGGAAACAACGAUGUUCAAGAUUCGUGAUCCGAAAGGGAAGAAGUCAUGGGAUGUUAUGUAUAAGGUCACUGCACUGGUACACAGUCAAGAUUCAUUGCUGGAUGGAUUCGUUUGGUGAAAGAGUUAGGUUUAGUGGUCGGAGAUGUUUGCACGUUCAAGCUCAUCAAACCGACCGAGAUGCUUCUCACAGUCUCCAAAAAGGGACUUCAUGCUUACCCUGUUGAGGUGAUCUCAGAUGAUGAUGAUGAUUCAAUCCGAUAGACAUCACAUCAAUCCCCAAACACAGAACCGAUGGAAGUUCUUAUCACCGGGGCGAAAAAAAACAUCCGAGGUUCUCUUCAGUUCAUAUAUGUCACCAAUGGUUUUCAUAGGAGAACCAAAUGCCUAAACUAAUUUUUUGUUGCUUCUCUGUUCCUUAAAGAGAAGAUCAAAAGAACAUGAUAUGUAUAGAGAAACAAUAAACUAAUAAAAGCAUAUAAUAAAUCCAUAUCAAGGUUUAGCUGUA